rnacentral:tRNA from 1 species
GUCUUCGUGGUGCAGUGGUCAGCACGCUUGAUGCGUAUUCAAGAGUUCUGUGGUUCGAGUCCAGACGAGGGCA